rnacentral:rRNA from 1 species
CAGCCGCCACGGGAAUACGAAGGGUGCAAGCGUUACUCGGAAUUACUGGGCGUAAAGCGUGCGUAGGUGGUGGUUUAAGUCCGUUGUGAAAGCCCAGGGCUCAACCUGGGAAUUGCAGUGGAUACUGGGUCACUAGAGUGUGGUAGAGGAUAGUGGAAUUUCCGGUGUAGCAGUGAAAUGCGUAGAGAUCGGAAGGAACAUCUGUGGCGAAGGCGACUAUCUGGGCCAACACUGACACUGAGGCACGAAAGCGUGGGGAGCAAACAGGAUUAGAUACCCCUGUAGUCCCUGUCUCUUAUAA